UCUUCCUACUCAGCUGCUAGUGAUGUACCGGAGCUCUCUCUUUUGUCUUUCUCCAGGCAAAUAUUUGAUGGAUCAAUCCAAGGGUGACCAGCUGCUUCUCACACCCAGCAGGUAAUUACUUGAAGGACCAAGACAGUGUAAUAUGUCCUUAGUACAAAGCCAAGUGUGAUCAGUUCCUUCUAACAAACAGCAGCUCCGGGAAGCAUUCUGUAUGCUGCCUUCAGCAGCCUGUCUGCCUGUGCUGACCACUUCUGUGAUCUAUAGACUUGUACACCAAGGUACCUUUGUUCCUCAGUAUUACCUCGGGACCAAUCCUUCAUUGUGUAAUUCUUUCCCUUAUUAGACCUCCCAAAAUGCAUUACCUCACAUUUAUCAGGAUUAAAUUCCAUCUGUCAUUGCAGUGCCCAAAGUCCUCAUACUGUAGCCUGAGACCAUCCCCCUCACUGUCAACAACACCACCAACUUUCAUGUCAUAGAGCAAAGAACAAUACAGCACAAAACAGGCCCUUUGUACACCAAGACUGCACUGAAACAUUUAAUACUUCCACAUGAAAAAGUCAUCUGCAGGCAUACUAAUUAUACAUUCACAUCCAAUUGUUAAUAUUUACAUAACAAGCAGCAAGGGUCCCAGCACUGAUCCCUGUGAUACACCACUGGUCACAGGCUUCCAAUCACAAACACAACCUUCCACCAUCAUAGUUUGCAUCCUGUCUGCAAGCUCAUUUCAGAUCCAGUUUGCUUAAGACUCCAAGUGCCAAUCUUGGACCAGUCUUUUAUAUGGGACUUUGUCAAAGGCUUCGGGGUGGCCUGUACCAGGCCAGAUAGAGUAGCCCAUGUCUGUUAACACAAACUGGUAUGUAAGUGUAAAGUAGAAUUAAACAGCAGUUUGUGAAACAGAAUGGCAGGCAGAAUCUAAGCUUUACAGCGCACUCACACAAUAAGGUAAAAUGAUACCAUUGAUAAAGCCAUUCCAAGGACCCAGCCUGUUCCAAUUUGAAACAGUUCUGACAAGCAGACCGAAGGUCCGGUAAAUGAGUAACUCCAGCCACAUUAAAUGAAAGGGUAAUUGUCCCAGUUACUGAACAGACACCAGGUGCUAGUUACAGCCCAUUAAUGCCCAAAACAGCUAAAGGUAUCUUAAAGUAUGUAGUUUCUUGAAAUAAGUUGGAAUAUUAAGAAUUAGGUUCUCGUAA